rnacentral:rRNA from 1 species
CCUUAGAGUUUGAUCCUGGCUCAGGAUGCAUUCUGGCGGCGUGCUUAACACAUGCAAGUCGAACGAAGCGAUCAGGAGGAAGUUUUCGGAUGGAAUCCGGAUUGACUGAGUGGCGGACGGGUGAGUAACGCGUGGGUAACCUGCCUCAUACAGGGGGAUAACAGUUAGAAAUGACUGCUAAUACCGCAUAAGCGCACAGGGACACAUGUUCCGGUGUGAAAAACUCCGGUGGUAUGAGAUGGACCCGCGUCUGAUUAGCUGGUUGGCGGGGCAACGGCCCACCAAGGCGACGAUCAGUAGCCGGACUGAGAGGUUGGCCGGCCACAUUGGGACUGAGACACGGCCCAGACUCCUACGGGAGGCAGCAGUGGGGAAUAUUGGGCAAUGGGCGCAAGCCUGACCCAGCAACGCCGCGUGAAGGAAGAAAGCUUUCGGGUUGUAAACUUCUUUUCUCAGGGACGAAGCAAGUGACGGUACCUGAGGAAUAAGCCACGGCUAACUACGUGCCAGCAGCCGCGGUAAUACGUAGGUGGCAAGCGUUAUCCGGAUUUACUGGGUGUAAAGGGCGUGUAGGCGGGACUGCAAGUCAGAUGUGAAAACCACGGGCUCAACCUGUGGCCUGCAUUUGAAACUGUAGUUCUUGAGUACUGGAGAGGCAGACGGAAUUCCUAGUGUAGCGGUGAAAUGCGUAGAUAUUAGGAGGAACACCAGUGGCGAAGGCGGUCUGCUGGACAGCAACUGACGCUGAGGCGCGAAAGCGUGGGGAGCAAACAGGAUUAGAUACCCUGGUAGUCCACGCUGUAAACGAUGGAUACUAGGUGUGGGGGGACUGACCCCCUCCGUGCCGCAGUUAACACAAUAAGUAUCCCACCUGGGGAGUACGAUCGCAAGGUUGAAACUCAAAGGAAUUGACGGGGGCCCGCACAAGCGGUGGAGUAUGUGGUUUAAUUCGAAGCAACGCGAAGAACCUUACCAGGGCUUGACAUCCCGAGGACCGGACUAGAGAUAGUCUUUUCUCUUCGGAGACCUCGGAGACAGGUGGUGCAUGGUUGUCGUCAGCUCGUGUCGUGAGAUGUUGGGUUAAGUCCCGCAACGAGCGCAACCCUUAUUGUUAGUUGCUACGCAAGAGCACUCUAGCGAGACUGCCGUUGACAAAACGGAGGAAGGUGGGGAUGACGUCAAAUCAUCAUGCCCCUUAUGAUUUGGGCUACACACGUGCUACAAUGGCGUAAACAGAGGGAAGCGAACCCGCGAGGGGGAGCAAAUCCCAAAAAUAACGUCCCAGUUCGGAUUGUAGCCUGCAACCCGGCUACAUGAAGCUGGAAUCGCUAGUAAUCGCGGAUCAGAAUGCCGCGGUGAAUACGUUCCCGGGUCUUGCACACACCACCCGUCA